rnacentral:miRNA from 1 species
AAUACAGGACAGACAUCCGGUUAGACUUGAAUUUCAGAUAAGCAUCAAAUACUUUAAAAAUAUAAGUAUGUCUCAUGGAAUGUUUGGGAUAUACUUAUACUAAAAAGUAUUUGUUGUUGAUCUGAAAUCCAAAUUUAACUGGACAUCCCAUAUUUU